UACCAGCUUGAUUCCAGCUUAAAAAUUAUCUUUUUCUGAGAAAUCCACAUGCAAAUUAUUCUAUCCCCGUGAGGGGGCAUUUUUCUAUUAUAUAGUUUAAAAUAAUUUAAUCUAAUCUUGCCCCGAGAUCGACCCAUAAGUAAAUACCUCAAAGACACCUCACGUCCGCAGUGAAAAAUUCUAAUUAUGCCUAAAAAUAGGGCCUCGGCUACAGAAAUAAAGAGUUGGUGAAAUUCGUGCCAGCUACCGCGGUUAAACGACAGACUCAAGCUAAUUCUAUCGGAAAUUAUGAAUUCCUAGAUAAAAACAUCUCCCAAAGAAGUCUAAUUCUAUUAUUAUUCCCUUACCCAAACUUAUCUUAUAAUCACAUGAAAGCCUAGAUCUAAACAAGGAUUAGAUACCCUUUUAUUCUAAGCCCAAAAUUAUCCAGGGCACUACAAACACAGGUUUAAAACCCAAAGAACUUGGCGGUACCUAAAUCCAAUCAGGGGAACCUGUCCUUUAAAUCGACAAUCCACGUAAAUUUUACCUUUUCUUGAAUUACCCCAGCCUGUAUACUGCCGUCGCCAGCCUACCAUUAAAGUGACAGUAAGCAAAAAAUUAUCAAUUUCCACGUCAGGUCAAAGUGCAGCUUAUGAAAAGGAAGAGAUGGGUUACAACUUAUAAUAUAAAUAUGAACUGCUAAUGAAAAUAAAUAUGAAAACGGACUUGAAAGUAAUUAUAAUGUUAUAUUUUAAUGAAUAUGGCAACCUAAGGUGUGUACACAUCGCCCGUCACUCUCACCGAAAGGGGAGAUAAGUCGUAACAUAGCAGGUGUAAUGGAAAUUGCACCUU
rnacentral:ncRNA from 1 species